UGGGGAAUAUUGCGCAAUGGGGGAAACCCUGACGCAGCAACGCCGCGUGAAGGAUGAAGGUUUUCGGAUUGUAAACUUCUUUGAUGAGGGACGAACACAAUGACGGUACCUCAAAAACAAGCCACGGCUAACUACGUGCCAGCAGCCGCGGUAAUACGUAGGUGGCAAGCGUUGGCCGGAAUCAUUGGGCGUAAAGAGCGCGUAGGUGGCUUGUCAGGUGUGAUGUGAAAUUUCGGGGCUCAACUCCGAACCUGCAUCGGAAACCGGCUUGCUAGAGUCUGGAAGAGGAGAGUGGAAUUCCUGGUGUAGCGGUGAAAUGCGUAGAUAUCAGGAGGAACACCGGUAGCGAAGGCGGCUCUCUGGAACAGUACUGACGCUGAGGCGCGAAAGCUAGGGGAGCGAACAGG
rnacentral:rRNA from 1 species